UUCUGAAUUAUUCACCGUUGUCCACGUACUAGUUGUCAUAAACAGACUUUCGAUCUCUUUAUGAUGGCAGUACAGCAGAUCACUCAAGGACUGCUAAGACAUGAAUUAACGUUUAAACACUUGACAAAGUUACAACAUCCUACGUUGAAAAUGGACUAGACGAUACUGAUAAUAAUAAUGGUUUUAUGCAAAAUUGCAGUGCAACAGAUCACUCAACGGUUGCUGAGCAUGAAUUAACAUUUUUAGCGCUUGGAAUAGUUUCAACAUCCUAUGUUUAAUAUGGAUUAGAAGAUUGCAGUACAGCAGAUCUUUCAAGCCAUGAUGAAACAUGAAUUAUCGUUUUUAGCACUUGGGAAAAUU
rnacentral:lncRNA from 1 species